CCGAGAAUAGCUCAGUUGGUAGAGCGGGAGACUGUAGUGAACACCCGUCAUCUCUAGGUCCCUGGUUCAAAUCCGGGUUCUCGGA